AUUGAACGCUGGCGGCGUGCUUAACACAUGCAAGUCGAUCGGUAACGCGGGGGCAACCCUGGCGACGAGAGGCGGACGGGUGAGGAACGCUUGGGAAUCUGCCUAUCAGCGGGGGACAACACGGGGAAACUCGUGCUAAUACCGCAUACGCUCUACGGAGGAAAGCCGGGGACCGCAAGGCCUGGCACUGAUGGAGCGGCCGAUGUCUGAUUAGCUAGUUGGCGGGGUAAGAGCCCACCAAGGCGACGAUCAGUAGCUGGUAUGAGAGGACGACCAGCCACACUGGGACUGAGACACGGCCCAGACUCCUAAGGGAGGCAGCAGUGGGGAAUUUUGGACAAUGGGCGCAAGCCUGAUCCAGCCAUGCCGCGUGCGGGAAGAAGGCCUUCGGGUUGUAAACCGCUUUUGGCAGGAACGAAACGGCGCAGGCCAAUACCUUGCGCUAAUGACGGUACCUGCAGAAUAAGCACCGGCUAACUACGUGCCAGCAGCCGCCGUAAUAC
rnacentral:rRNA from 1 species